GGAAUCUUCCACAAUGGACGAAAGUCUGAUGGAGCAACGCCGCGUGAGUGAAGAAGGUCUUCGGAUCGUAAAGCUCUGUUGUUGGUGAAGAAGGAUAGAGGCAGUAACUGGUCUUUAUUUGACGGUAAUCAACCAGAAAGUCACGGCUAACUACGUGCCAC
rnacentral:rRNA from 1 species